GGCGGGACUGCGCGGAGGCGACUGCAGACGUAUCGGGGGUCCGGAGCCUGUCGCGGCUGCUAAGCGCUCGGCGCCUGGCGCUGGCGCUGGCCAAGGCUUGUUGCAAACAGGAACCCGAGGUGUUCACUUCACUGUUGAAGGAACGAGAGGGCAUCUGCUAAAGUUUCAGAUUCCCUAGAAAAUUAUGGCAUGCCGUUUAGCAGAACUGAAGAUGGGAAGAUUUAUCAGCGUGCAUUUGGUGGACAGAGCCUCAAGUUUGGAAAGGGCAGGCAGGCCCAUCGGUGCUGCUGUGUGGCUGAUCGGACCGGCCACUCAAUAUUGCACACCUCAUAUGGGAGGUCUCUGAGAUAUGAUACCAGCUGUUUUGUGGAGUAUUUUGCCUUGGAUCUCCUGAUAGAGAACAGGGAGUGCCGUGGUGUCAUUGCACUGUGCAUAGAGGACGGGUCCAUCCAUCACAUAAGAGCAAAGAACACUGUUGUUGCCACAGG
rnacentral:lncRNA from 1 species